CUUACAUGGCUUCGCUUGUCAUCUACCUCAAUGGCAUCUUCUGUUAUAACUUUCAGCUCUUCCAGAGAAUAGGGAUGCUCUGGAUCUUUUAUAUCUCUAAGGUAGUGUAAGAAUGUUAAGGAAUGAUUACCUAUUCAUAUCUAUAAAUUUAAUCCGAACAAACUAAACUUCAUACUUGCUCAUGUUACUCGUUGAAGGACACUGACAUUUGUGAAGUAAAAGGGGAAGUAUGAUAUAAUGCAAAAGUUCAUCAAGCAGUAAAGUGAAGAUUGCAAUCACGUGUUAGCAAUUAGUUACACUGACCCAUACUUUAAUUGAAUAGGAAGUAUACAGAGAUAAAUCUAUCUCAGACUAAAGAGUACACCUCAGAUCAGAACCGGAAGCAACAUGACCCAGGAAAUUUUCAUGACAUGUGAUCCUAUAUAUUCUACUAUUUUCUAAGAAUUGCAAACCAAUGCGCACUUCGAAUUGCCAUGGACAAAAGCACAAAAGAUGUAAAACAAAUGUUGAAAGAGGAAAUAAUGCAUGCCCUCAUCACCCUCUCCUCUCUCACCCUCCCCCCCAAAACUUUUAUGUGGAGGGUGUGAGUUGAGGCUUUCCUUUCCGAACAUUAUAGAAUCUCAUGCCAGAGAGAGCUGACAAUCCAACAAAUUCGUAUAAGACAUGAAGGGGAAGUUCAACAGAAUCUGAAAUCUAGGGAGAAUUCCUAGGAUUGGGAGAUGGAUGAAUCUCAAAACCUGGUUGAUCUUUGUUUGAACAGAGUACCAUAUGCUACAUCAGACCAGUGGAGCAUGAGGAUUAGGGACGAUUUUUUCACAGUUAAAACCAUAUUAACAGAGUUUGCACAAGAAAAGAGAAAGCUUGCACACACAAUUCAUGAACCUUUAAGUCAUAUUAACAGAGUUUGCACCAGAAAAGAGAAAGCUGGCAAACAUAUUUCGCGCACCAAGGCGCAAAAGGUUUUCUCCAUUAAUUGUUUGCGUAGAAUGACAUGUCCCUUUAAUAGAUAUAAGAAAAAGUUACGAAGAAAAGGAGCAAAAGGUUCUUUCUCCACUUCAUCUUUCACAUUGAGCUGUAGAGUACAAAAAUAAAUAUCAGAAACAAGUAAGACGAAAUUAACUCUACUUGCAAAUUCAAAGACCUUCUCUAGGUAUUCUAUGUAUCGCUACUCAUAGAUUUAGUAUGCUAGUACUGCUCCAUUUGAAAUCUGAAUGAUUGUAUUUGAGAGAAUAAAACUCAAAGAUUCUGAAGUGGAUGGGUUUUAGCCUCAUAGAUAGUCCCUAAUCAUAGAAAGAUUAAUUUCAAGUCAAACAUAACAGGUAGAAUGCAUUCAUUUAGAAGGAUAUCAAAAAUUUCUAGCUGGUCGAUAGUUUCAGCUGAAUGUUCAGCCGUACUUGGAGCAAUCCUAGCUUGACGCUCCUUCUCAUACACAAUGGGAUUAGCAUUUAUCAAUUCAGAAACCAUUUUCAAGUCUGACCUUGGUAAGAUUCACCUGUCAUUUACAAUGUCUAACAAGAUCAUAAAAAACCUACUAACUUCCUUUGGAAUAAAAAUAAAUAAACUUCAAAUUUGUCUUCUUCUUUUUUUUGUUGGUUUCCCACUUGGUUCUGGUACCUGCAUUGGAGCCUGACUAAUUCGUAUUCGCACAUUGCAAGGCCCUUUUUAGGAGGCAGCGCUACCAGGGCUCAAUUCAAGACCCAACCAUCCCACCACAACCCAUAUUGGUAAAAAAUUGUCUUUCUUAGCAUUCGUUAGCUCAAACAACUGUUUUUUUCUAAAACCUCUCCUUGCAUCAAAAGAAAAGAUAGAAAUCUCCGCAGGAAAACAUCAUCAAACAGAAGAUAAUUUGUUCCUUUAAAGAGAAAACAUUUACUACCCUCAUCAAGCUGAAGUAAACAAGGUAUUACAAGCAUCCAGCUGCCAAAAUAAAAAUAGAAACAAUAUAGGCUUCAAGCUAUAUACAAAGGAAAAUAAAUCACUUCAUGACUGACCCUAUAAAAACUUAUCUCGUGUUCCGCCACAGAUUUUGGAUCAAGUUUUGAAAACUUAUUUCAAAUAUCUAUUUGGCCAUGAAAUUUGAUCCGACUUUCAUAUAUUUUCGAGUUCCCAAAAACUGGUCAUCCCCUCGUAAAAAUUCAAUCUUUUUCCAAGAAAAAUACAUUUCCAAGCUUCAAAAACUCAAAUUUUCAAGUUUCAACUUCAGAAUCAGACAGCCAAAGUGGAAAAUUCAACAAAAUAACAGUUAUCCAGAAUCCUCAAGACUUUUCAGUGAACAAACUCAUAUACUAUAUACAUAGACUGGAAUAGACAUUUACUCAUCCAAACCAUGUGAAAAAACACAUCAAAAUCACAAAAUUUUCUCAAGUCGUCGGAUUUUUUCCUCAGAAAGAAUCAUAAUAAGCCUAACAAAUCCAAUAUUUAAAAAAAAAAAAAUCACAACUUCAAUACGAAAACAACAAAAAGGUAAAUAUUUUUUAAUUGAUUAUACUUACAAGUUCGAUUUCCAAUCUGAAGAAUCGGAUGUUGGCGGGGAAGAAAAACUCCUAAAUCGUGG
rnacentral:lncRNA from 1 species